rnacentral:rRNA from 1 species
AUUGAACGCUGGCGGCAUGCCUUACACAUGCAAGUCGAACGGCAGCACGGGAGCAAUCCUGGUGGCGAGUGGCGAACGGGUGAGUAAUAUAUCGGAACGUGCCCAGUCGUGGGGAUAACGUAGCGAAAGCUACGCUAAUACCGCAUACGAUCUAUGGAUGAAAGCGGGGGAUCGCAAGACCUCGCGCGAUUGGAGCGGCCGAUAUCAGAUUAGGUAGUUGGUGAGGUAAAGGCUCACCAAGCCGACGAUCUGUAGCUGGUCUGAGAGGACGACCAGCCACACUGGGACUGAGACACGGCCCAGACUCCUACGGGAGGCAGCAGUGGGAAUUUUGGACAAUGGGCGCAAGCCUGAUCCAGCAAUGCCGCGUGCAGGAUGAAGGCCUUCGGUUGUAACUAG